AGCGAACGCUGGCGGCAGGCUUAACACAUGCAAGUCGAGCGGGCAUCCUUGUGGUGUCAGCGGCAGACGGGUGAGUAACGCGUGUGAACGUGCCCUUCGGUUCGGAAUAACUCAGGGAAACUUGAGCUAAUACCGGAUACGUGCGAGAGCAGAAAGGUUUAUCUGCCGAAGGAUCGGCCCGCGUCUGAUUAGCUAGUUGGUGAGGUUACGGCUCACCAAGGCGACGAUCAGUAGCUGGUCUGAGAGGAUGAUCAGCCACACUGGGACUGAGACACGGCCCAGACUCCUACGGGAGGCAGCAGUGGGGAAUAUUGGACAAUGGGGGCAACCCUGAUCCAGCCAUGCCGCGUGAGUGAUGACGGCCUUAGGGUUGUAAAGCUCUUUUCUCCGGGACGAUAAUGACGGUACCGGAGGAAUAAGCCCCGGCUAACUUCGUG
rnacentral:rRNA from 1 species